UACGAGGGGGGCGAGCGUUGUUCGGAAUUAUUGGGCGUAAAGAGCUCGUAGGCGGUCUGUUGCGUCGGCUGUGAAAACCCGGGGCUCAACCCCGGGCCUGCAGCCGAUACGGGCAGACUAGAGUUCGGCAGGGGAGACUGGAAUUCCUGGUGUAGCGGUGAAAUGCGCAGAUAUCAGGAGGAACACCGGUGGCGAAGGCGGUUCUCUGGGCAUUACCUGACGCUGAGGAGCGAAAGUGUGGGGAGCGAACAGG
rnacentral:rRNA from 1 species